AGCCACAUGUUUGCAAGGAGUGUGGGCGUGGCUUCAGUAGGAACUCACAUCUCAUCAGACACCAGAGAACACACACAGGGGAGAAGCCCCAUGUUUGCAAGGAGUGUGGGCGUGGCUUCAGUGUGAGGUCGCAGCUCAUCAUACACCAGAGAACACACACAGGGGAGAAGCCCCAUGUUUGCAAGGACUGUGGGCGUGGCUUCAGUGUGAAGUCACAGCUCAUCAUACACCAGAGAACACACACAGGGGAGAAGCCCCAUGUUUGCAAGGACUGUGGGCGUGGCUUCAGUGUGAAGUCACAUCUCAUCAUACACCAGAGAACACACACAGGGGAGAAGCCCUUUGUUUGCAAGGAGUGUGGGCGUGGCUUCAGUGUGAUGCCAAGUCUCAUCAGACACCAGAGAACACACACAGGGGAGAAGCCCUUUGUUUGCAAGGAGUGUGGGCGUGGCUUCAGUAUGAGCUCAAAUCUCAUCACACACCAGAGAACACACACAGGGGAGAAGCCCUUUGUUUGCAAGGAGUGUGGGCGUGGCUUCAGUGUGAGGUCACAUCUCAUCACACACCAGAGAACACACACAGGGGAGAAGCCCUUUGUUUGCAAGGAGUGUGGGCGUGGCUUCAGUGUGAGGUCAUAUCUCAUCAGACACCAGAGAACACACACAGGGGAGAAGCCCUUUGUUUGCAAGGAGUGUGGGCGUGGCUUCAG